rnacentral:rRNA from 1 species
GACGAACGCUGGCGGCGUGCUUAACACAUGCAAGUCGAACGGAAAGGCCCCUUUGGGGUUACUCGAGUGGCGAACGGGUGAGUAACACGUGAGUAACCUGCCCUUGACUUCGGGAUAACUUCAGGAAACUGGGGCUAAUACCGGAUAGGAAUCCUUGCUGCAUGGUGGGGGUUGGAAAGCUUCGGCGGUUUUGGAUGGACUCGCGGCUUAUCAGCUUGUUGGUGGGGUAGUGGCUUACCAAGGCUUUGACGGGUAGCCGGCCUGAGAGGGCGACCGGCCACAUUGGGACUGAGAUACGGCCCAGACUCCUACGGGAGGCAGCAGUGGGGAAUAUUGCACAAUGGGCGGAAGCCUGAUGCAGCAACGCCGCGUGCGGGAUGACGGCCUUCGGGUUGUAAACCGCUUUCAGCAGGGGCGAAGCUUGUGGUGACGGUACCUGCAGAAGAAGCACCGGCUAACUACGUG